UACAGAGGGUGCGAGCGUUAAUCGGAGUGACUGGGCGUAAAGGGCACGUAGGCGGUUAUAUUAGUCUGAUGUGAAAGACCUGGGCUUAACCCAGGAUGUGCAUUGGAAACGGUAUAGCUAGAGUAUGGGAGAGGGAAGUGGAAUUUCCGGUGUAGCGGUGAAAUGCGUAGAGAUCGGAAAGAACACUCGUGGCGAAGGCGACUUCCUGGCCCAACACUGACGCUGAGGUGCGAAAGCAUGGGGAGCAAACAGGAUUAGAUACCCUGGUAGUCCAUGCCGUAAACGAUGAGAACUGGAGGAAUGUCAACGUGAGUUGGUGUGUCUCUAAGCUAACGCGUAAGUUCUCCGCCUGGGGAGUACGGCCGCAAGGUUAAA
rnacentral:rRNA from 1 species